rnacentral:lncRNA from 1 species
AUCCUUCUUUUUUAUUUCAUCCUCCUUUCCAGAGAUAAAUUAAACUGCAUAGGACAAUGAUUAAAUUCUGUUACUCUUACAAGUGAACUGUGCAUUCCUGAGAUGUAUUAUAUGUAGGAGGGGAGGACUUGCUGAGUUUACACAGGUUUAUGAGUGUGCAUGGACAGAAGGAUGUGGGAACUGACCCAUGGGGAGAAAAUCAGAGAGGCUGCAACAUGAACCCAACCCUUUCAAGACACUGGUGAAUCUCUGCAGGAGAUGUGACUUGACUGGAGACUCUGGUGAUAACAAGGGGCUAAGAGGAAUGAAGACACAGAGCCUUGUCUAUUGCCUGUGAUCCACAAAACUCAGCACAAGAAAUGGAAGAAAGAAAUCUCAGCUGCAAUAAAUGUUUGUUUUCAUUUUUUUAAAAUCCA